rnacentral:rRNA from 1 species
AUUGAACGCUGGCGGCAGGCCUAACACAUGCAAGUCGAGCGGAUGACGGGAGCUUGCUCCUUGAUUCAGCGGCGGACGGGUGAGUAAUGCCUAGGAAUCUGCCUGGUAGUGGGGGACAACGUUUCGAAAGGAACGCUAAUACCGCAUACGUCCUACGGGAGAAAGCAGGGGACCUUCGGGCCUUGCGCUAUCAGAUGAGCCUAGGUCGGAUUAGCUAGUAGGUGAGGUAAUGGCUCACCUAGGCGACGAUCCGUAACUGGUCUGAGAGGAUGAUCAGUCACACGGGAACUGAGACACGGUCCAGACUCCUACGGGAGGCAGCAGUGGGGAAUAUUGGACAAUGGGCGAAAGCCUGGUCCAGCCAUGCCGCGUGUGUGAAGAAGGUCUUCGGAUUGUAAAGCACUUUAAGUUGGGAGGAAGGGUUGUACGUUAAUACCGUGCAAUUUAGACGUUACCGACAGAAUAAGCACCGGCUAACUCUGUGCCAGCCGCCGCGGUAAUAC